rnacentral:rRNA from 1 species
GACGAACCGAGCGAACGUUGUUCGGAAUCACUGGGCUUAAAGGGCGCGUAGGCGGCCUACUAAGUCAGACGUGAAAUCCCCCGGCUUAACCUGGGAACUGCGUCUGAUACUGGAAGGCUUGAGUAUGGGAGAGGGAUGUAGAAUUCCAGGUGUAGCGGUGAAAUGCGUAGAUAUCUGGAGGAAUACCGGUGGCGAAGGCGGCAUCCUGGACCAUUACUGACGCUGAGGCGCGAAAGCUAGGGGAGCAAACGGGG